rnacentral:lncRNA from 1 species
GGCAGUCCAGCCGCAGGGGCCACCCGAACAGUCUCUCCUCCUCACAGAAGCCUGGAGCUGGGCAUCCAAGAAGAAGCAGCCUCAUUUGUUUUCUGGUGUCAUCGUAGGUGGCCACCUAUGGCUUUUGGGCUUCUCACCUGGGGCGGGUGGGUUCUGCACCACCCUCCCACCCUCCUUCCUCCGUGUGGACGAUAGAGCCACAUCCAGCACCACGGACAGCUCCCGGGCGAUCCCAUGGGAGUAGAAGAGGUGUGAGCAGGUUGCCCAGCUGGUUAGCGGAAAUGCCAAGAUCCAGGCUCCUGAAUUUCAGCCUGGCCCUUUCUAUCUGUCUGAUACCUCCUUUACGAGUCUCUCUGCCUGCGUUGUGUGGAGCGGGCCUGCUGCUGGUUGGGGGAGUUUGCAGCCUUCAUCUCCUCGUCCUCCAGGCAGCACAAGCCAUUGUGGAAUCUCCACCAGGUGUACAGAACGGUGCCUCUGCGUCCUGCCACUCAGGACCUCUCAAGUCCCCGAUGUGAUGGCUCCUCAGCAUGAUCAGGAACCAAAAAGAAGAAUGUACUUCAUCUGGUUGGGCUGGAUUCCCUCUGAUAAGCCUUCCCAGUUGACUGAAAGAUGAGGCUAGGCUCUAGCAAGUUGAAGUCAAACCAGCUCCUUCAAGAAGCUUUGAGCAGAAUGAAGUGGGGAGGACCCAGCUUCCAGCCCAGGAAGCCCACUGUACCUGGAGCCAUCUGGGAUAAGACUUUGACCCAUGACUCCCAUAUCCACAGCCUGUCCAUCCUAGCCCAUCCCAGUUUAUCCUGUAUCAUUUGAGCUGGGAUUCCCACAUCCUCUGAGUUGGAAGUCCCAUCUCAAGUCUUCAAUAAAGACUCUUGAAUAUUGAAUCACA